GAUCCAGGCUCCUACGGGAGGCAGCAGUGGGGGAUAUUGCACAAUGGGGGGAACCCUGAUGCAGCGACGCCGCGUGGGUGAAGGAGUAUUUCGGUAUGUAAAGCCCUAUCGGCAGGGAAGAAGCAAGGCGGUACCUGACUAAGAAGCCCCGGCUAACUACGUGCCAGCAGCCGCGGGAAUACGUAGGGGGCGAGCGUUAUCCGGAUUCACUGGGUGUAAAGGGAGCGUAGACGGCCAAGCAAGCCAGGGGUGAAAGCCCGGGGCCCAACCCCGGGACUGCCCUUGGAACUGCUUGGCUGGAGUGCGGGAGGGGCAGGCGGAAUUCCUGGUGUAGCGGUGAAAUGCGUAGAUAUCAGGAGGAACACCGGUGGCGAAGGCGGCCUGCUGGACUGCAACUGACGUUGAGGCUCGAAAGCGUGGGGAGCAAACAGGAUUAGAUACCCCCGUA
rnacentral:rRNA from 1 species